UGGGGGAUAUUGCACAAUGGGCGAAAGCCUGAUGCAGCGACGCCGCGUGGGGGAUGAAGGCCUUCGGGUUGUAAACUUCUUUUGCUCUGAACAAGGCGCACCAUGGGGUGUGUUGAGUGUAGGGGUUGAUUAGCGCCGGCUAACUACGUGCCAGCAGCCGCGGUAAUACGUAGGGCGCGAGCGUUGUCCGGAAUUAUUGGGCGUAAAGGGCUUGUAGGUGGCUGGUUGCGUCUGUCGUGAAAGCUCAUGGCUUAACUGUGGGUUUGCGGUGGGGACGGGCUGGCUUGAGUGCAGUAGGGGAGGCUGGAAUGCCUGGUGUAGCGGUGGAAUGCGCAGAUAUCAGGAGGAAUACCGGUGGCGAAGGCGGGUCUCUGGGCUGUUACUGACACUGAGGAGCGAAAGCAUGGGGAGCGAACAGG
rnacentral:rRNA from 1 species